rnacentral:rRNA from 1 species
CCUACGGGGCGCAGCAGUGGGGAAUAUUGGACAAUGGGCGAAAGCCUGAUCCAGCCAUGCCGCGUGUGUGAAGAAGGCCUUCGGGUUGUAAAGCACUUUCAGUGGGGAAGAAAGCCUUGGGGCUAAUACCCUCGAGGAAGGACAUCACCCACAGAAGAAGCACCGGCUAACUCCGUGCCAGCAGCCGCGGUAAUACGGAGGGUGCGAGCGUUAAUCGGAAUUACUGGGCGUAAAGCGCGCGUAGGCGGUCUGAUAAGCCGGUUGUGAAAGCCCCGGGCUCAACCUGGGAACGGCAUCCGGAACUGUCAGGCUAGAGUGCAGGAGAGGAAGGUAGAAUUCCCGGUGUAGCGGUGAAAUGCGUAGAGAUCGGGAGGAAUACCAGUGGCGAAGGCGGCCUUCUGGACUGACACUGACGCUGAGGUGCGAAAGCGUGGGUAGCAAACAGGAUUAGAUACCCCGGUAGUC